CGAGAUAAAAUUAAAUAACAAAAAUGAAUAACAUACGCACUUGAUAUACAGCUGCGAAAAGGAGAAAAAAGAAAAAAAAUCUCAGCACGACAUCUGGGCAUUGCGUCAGAGGGAUGUCGUUUACGGUAAAUGGACGCUCAUAACCAUGUGAUCUUACCCGAUGUUUGUAAACAUGCGUCAGCCACAUGUGAGUCUGUCGAUGAGGAAACGCUGUCCAUCCUCUCGGCCAAUCAGUGACCGGGGGAGUGUCAGGGGCGGGGCUCUCGUGUUGCGCUAUGGAAAAUCGUUAGGGGAUACACUGUGACAAACAUGCGCUCUGAGAUUGACAAUAAGCAGAAUAAGUCCGAAACGGGAACCCGACGAAGUCAUUGAUCAGCGAGGGCCGGGCCUGGGAGGCGCCGGCGGCCGGGAUGAGCUCCGCAUUUCCUCAGGACAGAUGGAGCAAAAGGGUUUGGGCAAAACACUCGGCCCUAUUUGGAACAGAAGUGGGGCUGCAUGCCUGGCGCUGGCCCAGGAGAGGACACAGCACCCCAUCGUGCCCGAGAGAGAAAUCUGCAGGAACGCAGCGGAGAUCCAUUUUUCCACGCCGUUGGUCGUCCAUCAUUGACACUUUCUGUCAGGCUGCGCUUCCACCUUAGCACUCUGCCCUUCCACCCUGAGAACCUGGCCAUCUGAUGCACUAACAAGCUGCUAAACUGCAGAGCCGAGUGUCUGUUUCCUUUUUCGGGUUUUAGAAGCUUAGCAGCAUCAGUUCACAGAGACAGCUGCUCUAACUCACCUAUCUUCAAACAAAGAUCUUUACAUUGUUGUAGUACACUACAUAUUGUGGGGUGAAUAGAUAGAUAGAUAGAUAGAUAGAUAGAUAGAUAGAUAGAUAGAUAGAUAGAUAGAUAGAUAGAUAGAUAGAUAGAUAGAUAGAUAGAUAGAUAGAUAGAUAGAUAGAUAGAUAGAUAGAUAGAUAGAUAGAUAGAUAGAUAGAUAGAUAGAUCUGUUUUACUGACACACUAGUUGGUAUUCAGUUUUUCAUUAUAAUGCUUUCUUUUACCAAACUGAAGCUCUACACUUAAUCUUGGAGACGCUUCAUGGUUUACUCAAAGAAAGUAGAUCAGCGUCCUCAGGAGAUAAAGUAGUUCUCUACUGUAAUGCAGUGAGAACAAAUAAAACAAACAUUUGUUUGAGAAAUUUCAUAAAUGUAACAGCAGCGUGAGGAAAGAAAAUAUAGAAGAGAAAAUAAUCCCAAAGCAGAUGACAGUUAAUCAGCAGAGCUUUCACCAACGUUGAUUGAUGUCGAUUAAACUGUUCUGAAAAUGU